rnacentral:rRNA from 1 species
GUGACCCCAGGAUGGGCGAGGCCACCCGCCGAGUUUAAGCAUAUCU